UUGUAAAAAUUUCAUCCAUUUGUACUAUUAAAAACUACUGUUGAUGAUGAAAUAAUCAGAAAGUGACACAUUAUCACGUGUACAUCAUGCUGACGUAUGGGGAUCAGUUUUUAACAAUAAAAAUGGAUGUAAUUUUCACAG
rfam:Gossypium raimondii Chr06_contig_1282, whole genome shotgun sequence.